rnacentral:lncRNA from 1 species
UUAAACCUCAUAAUGUGUGCCUGUGAUCCCCAGCUUUUCUUCUUUAUGAGAGUGUUAACGUUCUUCUUCCUUUUUUUUUUUUUCUAUUGAAAUCUGUGGGAGAGUAAGUGCAGGAUCUGGUCCCUAAAGCUGCUCCAUCACGUUGCCAAGUAACCAGAGGAGUAAUAUAGUUUGUUUUCCAUGGAGGGCAGGAAGAAUCAAAGUGCUUGUGUGAAGGAUCACAGAGCCUAAGGAAAUGUGUGAUCAGUGAGGAGACUGAAACCAGCAUGAUCCUGCCACUUAGAGACAUUCUGUACCCUAAGUGUGUCUCAUGCCUUCUUAUUUCUGCCCUCUCCAUGGACGACCUAGAAGAACAGUAGCUCACUACAGUUCUCAUGUGAUAACUGAAUGUGAACUAAUAGCGAGCUGACAAUACACUUUCAUGCUUUAUGAAAAGGAGUAUAUGAGGGAGCUGACAAGAGUAAGGAGACCUGGAAAUGUUCCCUGGUCACUUCAGCCUUGUCACUGUCACUUCUUCAGACAGCAAGCAUCUGUGGGGAAGAGCGAGCUGGAGGAACCUGCUCUAGGGAAUCUGCACCAUGUCUGCAUACAGGCUGGGCAAGACUUGCAAGCCACAAGUAGACCAUUUGUCUUUGGUCCCAAAAGAUCAUGAAUGCCUGAAAUGGUGCUGCAGACACUAAGAAUGCAAGAAGGAACUUUCAAAUCAAGAAUUUCAGGAGGAAAGAUAAAAGGUUUUGGACUUUUCAUUGAAGGUACAGUUCAUUCAUGCUUUCCAUUGCUUUCUAUAUUCCUUGCUCUUUACUGUAGGAUACUUUCCCACUUGACAGUAAAAAAAAGAAGAGACAGUUCACAUCUCUUGCGACAUCCAACCAGAAAAAAAAAAAAUGCAGCUAGUUUAGAUGAGUAUUUAAUGGAAAUGUAAAGUUAUAGAUACAGAGGUCAACCUCUUGUUUUACAGUUGUGCUGUCUGUAAAACAUUGGAUUCCUAGUCCACCAUCAAUUACGGGUAUUACCACAGUAACAGUAUACAGUCAGGGUGUAUUUUUCCCUAUGUAUAAUAAAUUAACAUGGUUCAUGUAAAUUCCUGAAUUGGUACUUAUGUCCUUUUGUUAUCACCUCUGAUACUGGUUACAUGGAAUCAGGGAAGUCAUUUUUCUCUGCCUUGGUUUUGCUUUGUUUCUAAUAUUCCCUUCAGCUGGAAAAUGAUUUUAGUUCUCUAUUACAAAAAUGUGAUAUAAAUCUAGUCCUGAGAAUCUUAAAAUCUGUAGGAAACAGCUGAAUAAAUGGAGUUUAUUAAAUGUGACUUCCUACAGUCUUAGUGAGGACUUCUCUAACAAUUAAAGCCAGAAUUCUCAAAUGGCAGAAGCUUUUUUUGUCUGUCCAUUCUCAGAAGUGAUUCAACCUCUUAGCUUAGCCCAGAACGUGUGCAGAAAUGCAUCUCCCACAUUAUUCAGAUGGUGUUAAUUGAGGGCUUUCUGCUUUCCUAACAAAAGAGGUGAUAAAUGUCUCUCCCUUUUCGUUUAAAAUCUUCACCUCCUACAGUAGUUUCAGUGUGUUUGAGUGGAUAUAAUAAGUAGACUGCAGAAAUUAAUUAAUUAUAUGUGUUAACUUCUCACUUUUUGCCUUUGUUGAAUCUUCUCUUUUUUCCCUCGGCCUUGACUUUUGCAAAAUUAAAGUUGUCUCCCAGGGUGUAUAGCUUUUAAUUUGAGUCUAUACUGUAUUUAGCUGCUGCAGCGCGUCAAGCAUGUGGAACAUUUUAACAAGGAGUUUUUAAUGAAUCCCUGGGAAGAAAGUGCCCUCGAAAACAAUACUUCAGUACGUAAGCACUUAUAUACUCUGCAACAAUAAAAACAGAACACAUGGAAAAGAUUUUCCUGCCUCUCUGUGUUUUAAACAAACUUUAGCCACAAUCAAGGUCAUAGCCAUUCACUGAGAGGUACUUUUGAUUAAAGGUUUUUUUCUCCAAGGUUGCAAGUAAAUUAUUUCAGCCCGUUUGAUGAUUUGCUAGAAAGGUGUGUUAAAUUGCUGGUAAUUUGAAUUGUGUAUUCAAUUGUGUCUACACAUUCCUUGCAUGUUUCCAUAAAUGCCGGCAUCACUUCUGUAUUACUCUUGGCUUCUUGCACUUGUGUCAGAAGGAAAUGAGUGAUUUUAACACAGCCAUGAAGUUCAAUACAAAGUGGAGAGGGGCAGAAUUUCCCUCAGGUCUUAAUCCCAGUGAAGGUUCAGGGCACUGAGCAGUUAUAAUCAGUCACUUGUCUUUCUGAAUUACUCUAUCCAAAGACACAGGCAGCUCUAUAAUGUCUUCUUAUUUUUCUGUACCAUCAAAUGAAUUUGACAUGAGAAGAAAAGAAAAUGGACAACAAGGAAAAUCAGGACACAGGAUUAAGACAGAGAGUUUUGACGUGUUGACCUUAGUUCUGAUUUUAUGCAGUCAAAUGUUUGAUGUUUAUAGUUUUUUGACCGUCUCUGCAACCUUUGCUGAAGCACUGUAAGAAUUAGAUGACUUGAUGUUUCUGAAGCUGUUUUCUUCUGAGGAAAAAAAGGAAACCAACUGAAAAAAAAAAAAAACAAAAAAAAAAAACCCACAACAUUGGACUGUGGUGUUCUGAAGACUGCACGUGAGUUCCUGCUGUUAAACCAAAUAUUUCUCCUCCUAAACGUAUUGAGCUGCAGUAUCUCCAGAAGUAUUGGCUCAACCGCCCUUACCCUGGGUGAUGCACCAUCUCCCUCUCGUGGUGUCUUGAUCAGAGAGCAGUUAAGGAAAAUUCUACUAUAACUUCAGAUAACAGACUUCAAGCUUUCAAGGCUAAAGAGUGAAGAUUCACAAUUGCAGGCACAGUGGUCAAAGUCUGAGAUAAU